rnacentral:misc_RNA from 1 species
UUACUCUCUUUUUGUUCUCGGACAUCAACACGCCCGGAGUGGGUAGGUGAGGGGCCUCUUACACCGACGGCAACAACUCAGCAAGCACUCGGAUAAGCGUCUACACCUUCCGCUCUUCUUUCUCAUCGUAAAGAAGGUACGCUGGGCUCGAGGGCAGACGCGGGCAUGCGCGUCCUCAUCCUCCAUCUCACCUCCAUCCUUAAACACACACACAUACAUACAUACAGGCUCGUUUACCAGUGCGCUGUGAACAAGAAAACCGGCUCAUAGGCAAACGCACCUAUACACUGACACCGGCUGUUAACAGGGUGUAGAGCCUUCCUCUGCACGAACACUCGAACCCUCGCACUGACACACUCACAGAAGAUAAGGCUAUUGGGUACAUCAGCGUCUCUCCCUGCUUGAGCGUAUAUCUCUCUCUACCCGCGUAGCUGUUUGUGUGGCCGUUUUAUUCUUCUCGAUCUCGCGUUGCGUCAUAUCCUGGAAAGGUCACGGCUUCCGGUAACGACGCGCCUUUACUGUUUGGUCGUGUAGUUGCUGGUUUUGGCGAGAGCGACCGAGAACCACGCGUGUGCCGCGCCGCCACUCUCCGCUGUUGUGCUUCUCCUCUUGUUUCCCCAAAAAAUAUUCCCCCCUUCAUUUUGUGGCGCAGCUCUCUCUGUCGCCCCCUCCUUCCUUGGCGAUGUCUCUCUCCACUCACCGCCCGGUGAAGGGCAUCACGUAUGGGGUUGUGUGCCCUGUGUGCUGCAAUCCGAUGGACUUUGAGUGCAUCAGUGAAAGGAUGUACGGCGUGCGGUGUCCGACGUGCAAUGCCAUGAUAGACCUCCGCAACCCGGCAGAGACGCUGCCGGACACCGACACCGGCGUCUACGAGGGGGACACGCAACGCAUCAAGGUUGUGCACUACUCAGCUGAGGUAGAGCCGUCGACUGGGAUGUCCGCCAGCGCGCAGGUAAACAACCUCUUGAGCAGCGUGGAGGCAGAGAAGCGCAAGAUCAUGCCGACAGUGAUGACGGGAGAGACGAAGCAGGCCUUCUCCGCCCAACGCCAGCAGGCACUCGCGCAGAAGUUCUCGCUUUUCUUCCCUGUGACGCACGCGAUCGAGUACGUCGUCUUUGGCAAGAAGCCGUACGCCAAAAUCGGGCACGUGCGCAUCUUCCGCAAGCGCAUUCCCUUCUACGGAUACGUGAACAUCUGCGCCCCUCAGACGACCACAUCCUACUCGGCGCCGUGCUCUUUCACCUUUCUAUUCAUCAUCCCCGUCAGAUGGCUCUGGGCACAAUUAGAGCUGGAGUGGAUAGCGCGCUAUUACCACGCCGAGUUGGUGCUUGUCUUUCUCUUCUAUACGCUGCUGUUUCGGCUGGCGUACAGUGAUCCCGGCUAUGUGAAGCCGGGCUACAUGGACGACGAGGGCGGCGACACCGCUGCUGCUGCCGCUGCCGAGGAAAUGACUCUGCGUGACAUAGAGCGCAACCAGAGGGAGAGCUUGUGGGAGGAUGUGAACGGCGUUCCGAUGGAGCGCAAGUGGUGCUCUACGUGCAACAUGCAUCGCCCUGUGCGAGCUGCCCACUGUUACAUUUGUGGCCUGUGCUGCUACGACCACGAUCACCACUGCGGCGUCCUCGGUAUCUGUGUUGGCCGUCGCCGUGUUGAGAUGUUCUCGACGUUUGUGUCGGUCGCCACGAUGAUGUGCGCCUUACCGACGAUGACCAUCAUCUGCGCCCUCUGGACACACUGGGAGAAGUUCACAGCAGCUCUGCUGGCGGUGGCGUUCUUUUUGGUCGUGAUGCUGAUGCCCUUAUCCAUCCUCCUCACCAUGACAGCGGUCUCCAUGUGGCAGUCGAUCACUCAGGAGGCGAGCACCCGCGAGCGCAUCCAGCACGUAUACGCUCACAAGCGCAACCCCUACAACCGCGGCUUCUUCAAGAACUUGUACUACCACCUAGUGCAGCGCCGCGUCGCCGCGUCGCUGUUCGACGACGACUUUGUGAAGAGGUGCGCGCUGCGGGUUCAGGAGCGUGAGCUGGGCACCGGCGUCACGGUUACGUGCAUCUGAGCGAGUGAAGGAGGAGGAGAAGGGAAGAGGACCAGUACAGUACACGUGUGUGCACAUGCGCACCAUCACAGCCCCUCUUGCUCCCCCUCUCUCUUUUCCUGUCCUCUUUCCCCGUCCACCCACACGCAUCUAACCCUUGCUUCACUAGAGUGACGAGUGCGAAAAGGGCGACUGGUGAUUGCACGUCAGGUGCGGAAAGAGUCCCCCGUCGUCUUCGCUUGCUGCUUUGGCUUCCCUUUUAGCUGAUUUAGUCUUAUAUGUUGUGUAUGCGUGCUGAUCUUGCUCUCUCCCCCCUCUCCCCCUCUCCCUCUUUCCCUCGCGUAUGUUGCCUGCCCCGAAAGCAUCUGAAAUCCUACGUCUGCCCAUGCACCAUGCACGCACUGCCGCUCAUUCACAUCGACCCCCUUCCCCUCCACACACACACAGCGUGUCACCCUUCUUUUUAGGUUUCUUUGCAGGCGUUAUCACCUUCAGCUGCUUUCUGCAUCUCUCCCCCUUACCCCCUCUCGCAGCUCCUUGUCAGUGCUAAGUUCUGGAGUGACUGGGCCAAGAGCAGAUGGUGCGCAUUCUAUCGGCUCGUACGAAAUUCACGCACGGAAGCUGUGGACUCUACCUUUCCCUCCCCCCACCUGACACACACAAACACACACACACACACACCCCUCCUUUCUUGCCGCGGAUGGAAGAAAGUGCAAAGGUCGGGUCGUAUCGACAGUGCAGCUUGCUUCAC